rnacentral:rRNA from 1 species
GAUGAACGCUGGCGGCGUGCCUAAUACAUGCAAGUCGAGCGAACAGAUGAGGAGCUUGCUCCUCUGACGUUAGCGGCGGACGGGUGAGUAACACGUGGAUAACCUACCUAUAAGACUGGGAUAACUUCGGGAAACCGGAGCUAAUACCGGAUAAUAUAUUGAACCGCAUGGUUCAAUAGUGAAAGACGGUUUUGCUGUCACUUAUAGAUGGAUCCGCGCCGCAUUAGCUAGUUGGUAAGGUGACGGCUUACCAAGGCAACGAUGCGUAGCCGACCUGAGAGGGUGAUCGGCCACACUGGAACUGAGACACGGUCCAGACUCCUACGGGAGGCAGCAGUAGGGAAUCUUCCGCAAUGGGCGAAAGCCUGACGGAGCAACGCCGCGUGAGUGAUGAAGGUCUUCGGAUCGUAAAACUCUGUUAUUAGGGAAGAACAAAUGUGUAAGUAACUAUGCACGUCUUGACGGUACCUAAUCAGAAAGCCACGGCUAACUACGUG